rnacentral:tRNA from 1 species
GCGUCGGUACUCAAGCGGUCAACGAGGGCAGACUGUAAAUCUGCUGGCCAUCGGCCUACGAAGGUUCGAAUCCUUCCCGGCGCACCA